CAGAGGUGGCCUGGUCAGACUGCAGCCAGGGCAAGGAGGUGAAUGGCACAGCGCAGACACCAGGGGAAGGCACAGGAGUGGAGGAGCGAACCAGGGAUGGGAGCCGAGUGGCGUGAGCAGGGCCCGGUGUCUCCUCCCCCAAGAUCUUCACUGAAGGCCUACUAUGCACCAGAUGGUGUUAUAAGUCCUGGGGGUAAAGCAGAAUAAGGCAAGCAAACACCUCUGCCUUCGUGGAGCAGACAUAAAGCAACCAAAAAUAUAAUGCAAUAACAUCGAACUUAGAAGUUCUAUUAAAAAUAAACAACAACAGGCUCUCUGCUCCUCCCCGUUCAACAGACAGCCACGUAUUCUGGUGCAGUGCC
rnacentral:lncRNA from 1 species